GCCCAGUAGCGUCUACACUGCCGGAAAGAUAGAAGAAGAAGAAGAACUAGUCUGAAGCGCAGUUCAUUUCGUAGACCGAAUAGAGUGGGGCUCAUUUGGAAAGCAGCAGUUUAGAUUGAAUUAUUAUUAUUUUUUGUCUCACUUCUCCUACCGCAGUUAAGAGAGCUCGGAUGAAUGAUAAGCCCAGGAGUGAUAAAAUUGAGGAAAGCUAGUUUAUCGUUGAUUCUGAAGAACAAAUUAGAUCUUGUUGACUACUAUUUCCGAGUUAUUUACAGUUACAGUGGACUUUGUGGCCAGUGAUUCUAGGUAAGACCAGGCCUGACUUCAUUGCAUCAAACAUUUUCAGUUUGUGUGGUCUGGAAUGAUGUGUUUACUGCGUUAGACUGCUGAACAUCACUGAUGUCAAAUCAAAUCUCUGACAAGACUGGUGAAUUUCAACUGCAAUCUGUUUGAUUUUGAAGCUGGAAUGAACGUUUAUGAUGGCAUUUUCUUUUGCAACAGGGAGAGAAGGUGAAUUGGAAGAGGCAGAGGUUUGAAUGUUCCUCACUAUGUUCAUUGUAAUGGCUGUGGUUAUUGCAAAUGUAUAACUUAUUCUGUAUUGUAAUAUUUUAUGUGGAUGUAACAAAAUUGCACAAUCCUGUUUGUUUCUAUACAUAAACAAAAUACACGUC